CGUCGACCGGCGCACGGGUGAGUAACGCGUAUCCAACCUUCCCGUUACUGCGGGAUAACCUGCCGAAAGGCAGACUAAUACCGCAUGUUCUUCGAUGACGGCAUCAGAUUCGAAGCAAAGAUCCGUCGGUAACGGAGGGGGAUGCGUCUGAUUAGCUAGUUGGCGGGGCGACGGCCCACCAAGGCGACGAUCAGUAGGGGUUCUGAGAGGAAGGUCCCCCACAUUGGAACUGAGACACGGUCCAAACUCCUCGGGAGGCAGCAGCU
rnacentral:rRNA from 1 species